rnacentral:rRNA from 1 species
GACGAACGCUGGCGGCGUGCCUAACACAUGCAAGUCGAACGAGAAAGUCCCUUCGGGGGCGAGUACAGUGGCGCACGGGUGAGUAAUACGUGGAUAACCAACCCUCGGGUGGGGGAUAACAGUCCGAAAGGAUUGCUAAUCCCGCAUAAGACCACGACAGCUGCGGCUGUUGAGGCCAAAGGCGCUUUAAUGUGUCGCCUGAGGACGGGUCCGCGUCCCAUUAGCUAGUUGGCGGGGUAAUGGCCCACCAAGGCGAUGAUGGGUAGCUGGUCUGAGAGGAUGACCAGCCACACUGGGACUGGAACACGGCCCAGACUCCUACGGGAGGCAGCAGUGAGGAAUAUUGCACAAUGGGCGAAAGCCUGAUGCAGCAACGCCGCGUGAGUGAUGAAGGCCCUCGGGUUGUAAAGCUCUGUCGGGUGGGAAGAUGUGGUCCGGCUAACAACCGGAUUGUGACGGUCCAUCAAAGGAAGCACCGGCUAACUCCGUGCCAGCACGG